rnacentral:rRNA from 1 species
UACAGAGGUGGCAAGCGUUGUUCGGAAUUACUGGGCGUAAAGGGCGCGUAGGCGGUCUUGUCAGUCCCUUGUGAAAUCCCCCGGCUCAACUGGGGAACUGCACGGGAAACAGCAGGGCUUGAGUUCGGGAGAGGGAAGCGGAAUUCCGGGUGUAGCGGUGAAAUGCGUAGAUAUCGUGAGGAACACCAGAGGCGAAGGCGGUUACCUGGACAGUUACUGACGCUCAGGCACAAAAGCAUGGGGAGCAAAAGGG